UACUCAGACGCGACACGAGGAGUUUUAUUAUUUUUUAUUUUUUUCCACCGAUCAUCAACAGCAUUCCUUUUUUUGGCACAAGGAAGAAGAAGGGGAGAGACGUAGUAGAGUAUGAUGACAGCGGAAAGACACGACCACCAUAGAGAGAAUGUCGAUUUCGUGUUUUAACGAACGCGAGGAAGACACGCGGAAUGGACGUUGUCGAUAUCGUUUUCACGAACGACACGAUACCGAUCCGGUGCACCAUUAAUAAUGUCGUGACAAAAGGGUGUUCGAAGAUUCAACCGAUCAUGCAACGAAGAUUUAGUGGCCUGUACGAAAGGGUAUAAAGAAGAAUCGGAAUGAAGUUGUUCGGUGGUCCUCUCUCGGGUACGCGUGGGCGGUGCUUCGUGGCCCCUAUCUUUCUUUCGCCAACAAAAACGUCGCAAGACCCUCGACAUUUUGCGUAUUCCGCGUACUUUAUCGCGUCUCCUCGAGAGCGUAAGGAGAACAGAGAAGAUAGAAAAAGAUAUCAUGAAUCAUAGAGGAAGAGACAGAGAGAGAGAGAGAGAGAGAGAUGAAAUAUAAGGGAGAGAGACUCGGGAUCGUUCUGUCGUGGUGGUUGGACGCGAAGGAGGUACGCGGAGAUGGUCUGGGCAGUUAGGGGCAUUAUAUACCUAACAGGAAGAGAGACAAAGCGAACAAAACACUGUCGGGGCGUCGCUCCGCAAACACAGCGCCUCUUGGUAGAUGAAGAGAGAAGAAAAGUGAGAGCGAAGAACUAAAACUUGGAACAAAAGUCCUCACUUUUGUUCCCUCGAAAGUUUUUCGAAUUAUGGCCGUGGCGGAGAGAACAGACCAAGGUAAAAGGAGGACGAAGCCGAGAGGAGAGGACCUUCUGUGAUUUAUAUCUCGCCAAGGUUUCGGAAUUAUUAAACUUUCCAGGGCACCCGGAAAGGUAAAAGGUGCUGGUGGUGGUGAGGGAAAGAUGGCCACGACGGAGGAGUUUCCGCGAGAGAGCUUGUACUAUGAUUUCGCGCUGACGACUCGACGGCGCUGAUAAUUUACACACUGACGUCUCGACGCUGCCACCUCGACGCGAUCACCUCUGGUCGUAGACUCCCCAGCUAGACGGGAAACGUUUGAAUGGCUUCUACGUGUUUGCACCAUGAACGGUAACACUGGAUGACGAUGUUUGGAGAUUUAAUUGCUGCAAAAAUUGUUGCAUCCUAAUGUUUCAACGCUUUGAAUAGCGGUGUCACAAUUUGCUAAUGAUUUCACUUGAUAUUUCCUAAUGUGGAACAUUGAUCGUUGAGCUAAAUCCAAAGAGUACACUGAUGUUUUAUAUUUCAAUAUCAAAAUGGAAAUAGAAUAUGGUGAACCGUUAGAAAAUCGAAGAAAGAGAGAAAGAAUGGUGGGCGUAACUGGCGAUAAUUUGCAUGGAAAUUUUUAUCGGCAGCACCGAAGAGGCAAUAUCCGGCAGACGCGUUUAAGAUCCGAGACCGGAUAAUAAUAGCCAGCAGAAAUGGCAUCGUAAUGCUGGGAAUGGGUGACACAAGAACCGAUUGCCAUCGGUACACACCCCCUCGCUCUGUUUUUUGAGGUGCUUAGUAUUUUUAAAUUUCUGUUAUGGAAAUUGAGGAGAUGUAUUUGUAGCGAAAAGGUGUAGAUGCUGAAGACUCGGCGCUGAGCCUAGGAAAUUGUGAGGAUCCAAAGUUCGCUUCUCAAGGACGUAUCCCCUCUGCGAUAAAGAUCCAGAUCUCUGAAUCCGAGUAUCAAGAGCCGAAGGAUCGACGCUGCAACACUCGACGGAGCAUUAUAGAGAAUCCUUUCAAGUUACACGAGUAGGACCCAUCGCACCCACAGCUCUUCGAGAUCUUCAGCUCCUUCAUCUUGGGGAUCAGCGAGAACUCGCACAUCCUUGAACUCAGUCCACGGUUAGCAUAAGCAGACCGAUCGUCCAGGUGAAGGAUCAUUCGACCGGCCAUUUUCACGAUCCAAGUCCUUCGGCUAUUGCAGGCAGGUAACCGGUGCCGGCGUAAGGAGCGGCGAGGAACCUGUGUCUCGUCGAAGGGAUGGGAGUGGUGCAGUAGGCAGCAC